GAUUAAGAACGUAGCGAAAUGCGAUACUUGGUGUGAAUUGCAGAAUCCCGUGAACCAUCGAGUCUUUGAACGCAAGUUGCGCCCGAAGCCAUUAGGCCGAGGGCACGCCUGCCUGGGCGUCACACGUCGUUGCCCCCCCAUCUACUCCUUCGGGAUUGCGGGGGGCGGAUGAUGGCCUCCCGUGCGCCUCGUCGCGCGGUUGGCAUAAAUGCCAAGUCCUCGGCGACACACGCCACGACAAUCGGUGGUUGCGAAACCUCGGUUGCCCGUCGUGUGCGGUCGUCGCGCAUCGAGGGCUCGAAAAAAUUGCCGGGCUCCGGCUCGGCUUUCAACGCGACCCCAGGUCAGGCGGGGUUACCCGCUGAAUUUAAGCAUAUCAAUAAGCGGAGGA
rnacentral:misc_RNA from 1 species